rnacentral:rRNA from 1 species
UACGGAGGAUGCAAGCGUUAUCCGGAAUUAUUGGGCGUAAAGCGUCCGCAGGUGGCACUUCAAGUCUGCAGUCAAAGGCUGGGGCUUAACCCCAGAGAGGCAGUGGAAACUGAAGAGCUAGAGGGUCGUAGGGGUAGAGGGAAUUCCUGGUGUAGCGGUGAAAUGCGUAGAGAUCAGGAAGAACAUCGGUGGCGAAAGCGCUCUACUGGACGGCAACUGACACUCAGGGACGAAAGCUAGGGGAGCGAAUGGG